rnacentral:rRNA from 1 species
AUACGUAGGGAGCGAGCGUUGUCCGGAAUUACUGGGUGUAAAGGGUGCGUAGGCGGGACUGCAAGUCAGAUGUGAAAUGCCGGGGCUCAACCCCGGAGCUGCAUUUGAAACUGUGGUUCUUGAGUGCGGUAGAGGUAAGCGGAAUUCCUAGUGUAGCGGUGAAAUGCGUAGAUAUUAGGAGGAACAUCGGUGGCGAAGGCGGCUUACUGGGCCUCUACUGACGCUGAGGCACGAAAGCGUGGGGAGCAAACAGGAUUAGAUACCCUGGUAGUCCACGCUGUAAACGAUGAUGACUAGGUGUGGGGGGACUGAACCCUUCCGUGCCGCAGUUAACACAAUAAGUCAUCCACCUGGGGAGUACGGCCGCAAGGUUGAAACUCAAAUGAAUUGGCGGGG